AAUCAUCACAAAUUGUAUCAAGACUGAGAAAUCAAGAUGGAGAACAUGCUGGAAUGUGCCUUCAUAGUCUUGUGGCUUCAGCUUGGCUGGUUGAGUGGAGAAGACCAGGUGGAGCAGAGUCCUCAGACCCUGAGACUCCAGGAGGGAGACAGUCUCAGCCUCAACUGCAGUUACACGGUCAGCUAUUUUGGAGGGCUACAGUGGUACAGGCAGGAUCCUGGGAAAGGUCCCGAACUCCUCUUCCUCCUGUAUUCAGUUGGGGAUGAAAAGCAGAAAGAAAGACUAAAAGCCACGGUGUCAAAGGAGGGAAGUUCUCUGCACAUCACAGCCCCUAAACCUGAAGACUCAGCCACUUACCUCUGUGCCGUGGAGACACAGUGCUCCCCGGGCACCUGCAAGCCUGUACCAAAACCCUGCAGCUGCGGCUCUGGAAUAAGGGCAUGUCUUGUUUUUCCUCCUCGAAGAAGUGUUUACUUAGCACCCAAAACCUCUUUCUUAGUGGUCCUAUGGAGAAUGAAGUCUUCUGACAUAGCCAGAUGCCGCAUAGAUUCAGAAGGGACAGCUGUGAUAUGGAGUCUUGGUUUCUAG